ACUAACACACUAAGACUAAGGGCUGUAUUCAGUCCGUAUCAUGGAAGUUCAGCGUUACAGUGUGAUUUAAAUUUAAAAUGUAAAAUGACCUUUACAUUUAUGUCUGUCAAUCUGUAACCCUUCAUCAAUACAGACUGAAUAGAGUCCUAAGUAGAGAUAUUAGUGUAUCACCUGUCUGUUUCAGAUGCUGCUGUUGGACCAAGUCAUGAGACAUACGCCCAGAUUCAACUCACAAAGUUGGACAAGAAAAAGAAUGAAAAGCCAGCUGAUCCAAAAGAAAGUCCAGUCUACUCUGAGGUGAAGACAGGGAAAGCCACAACAGCUGGACCUGUUGAUGUGACCUAUGCUGAGGUUGACCUCCAAAAGAAGAACAAAGCCAAGAAGAAGAGAAACAAAAACCCCACCUGAGGCCGAUUCAGUCUAUUCUCAACUGAAGCCAGGCACAACCCCAGUGUAACGAUCUGAGUGUAGUGGGUGAGGAGUCAGGCGCAGGAAGCAGAGAGUUCAGGUCCUUGAGGGAGAUGGAGGGAUAAAUAACUUUGUGUGGUGAUAUGUUACAGGUCCUUGAGGGCGAUGGAGGGAUAAAUAACUUUGUGUGGUGAUAUGUUACAGGUCCUUGAGGGAGAUGGAGGGAUAAAUAACUUUGUGUGGUGAUAUGUUACAGGUCCUUGAGGGAGAUGGAGGGAUAAAUAACUGUGUGUGGUGAUAUGUUACAGGUCCUUGAGGGAGAUGGAGGGAUAAAUAACUUUGUGUGGUGAUAUGUUACAGGUCCUUGAGGGAGAUGGAGGGAUAAAUAACUUUGUGUGGUGAUAUGUUGCAGGUCCUUGAGGGAGAUGGGGGGAUAAAUAACUUUGUGUGGUGAUAUGUUAUAGGUCCUUGAGGGAUAAAUAACUUUGUGUGGUGAUAUGUUACAGGUCCUUGAGGGAUAAAUAACUUUGUGUGGUGAUAUGUUACAGGUCCUUGAGGGAUAAAUAACUUUGUGUGGUGAUAUGUUACAGGUCCUUGAUGGAGGGAUAAAUAACUUUGUGUGGUGAUAUGUUACAGGUCCUUGAGGGAGAUGGAGAGAUAAAUAACUUUGUGUGGUGAUAUGUUACAGGUCCUUGAGGGAGAUGGAGGGAUAAAUAACUUUGUGUGGUGAUAUGUUACAGGUCCUUGAGGGAGAAGGAGGGAUAAAUAACUUUGUGUGGUGAUAUGUUACAGGUCCUUGAGGGAGAUGGAGGGAUAAAUAACUUUGUGUGGUGAUAUGUUACAGGUCCUUGAGUGAGAUGGAGGGAUAAAUAACUUUGUGUGGUGAUAUGUUGCAGAUCCUUGAGGGAGAUGGGGGGAUAAAUAACUUUGUGUGGUGAUAUGUUAUAGGUCCUUGAGGGAUAAAUAACUUUGUGUGGUGAUAUGUUACAGGUCCUUGAGGGAUAAAUAACUUUGUGUGGUGAUAUGUUACAGGUCUUUGAGGGAUAAAUAACUUUGUGUGGUGAUAUGUUACAGGUCCUUGAUGGAGGGAUAAAUAACUUUGUGUGGUGAUAUGUUACAGGUCCUUGAGGGAGAUGGAGAGAUAAAUAACUUUGUGUGGUGAUAUGUUACAGGUCCUUGAGGGAGAUGGAGGGAUAAAUAACUUUGUGUGGUGAUAUGUUACAGGUCCUUGAGGGAGAAGGAGGGAUAAAUAACUUUGUGUGGUGAUAUGUUACAGGUCCUGGAGGGAGAUGGAGGGAUAAAUAACUUUGUGUGGUGAUAUGUUACAGGUCCUUGAGGGAGAAGGAGGGAUAAAUAACUUUGUGUGGUGAUAUGUUACAGGUCCUUGAGGGAGAUGGAGGGAUAAAUAACUUUGUGUGGUGAUAUGUUACAGGUCCAUGAGGGAGAUGGAGGGAUAAAUAACUUUGUGUGGUGAUGUGUUACAGGUCCUUGAGGGAGAUGGAGGGAUAAAUAACUUUGUGUGGUGAUGUG